UGAUUUGAAGUGUUUGGUUAUGUUUUUAUAUAUAAUAUCGACCAAAUUAAAGUGUCAACGUAUAAGAAAACAUAUAAACAUACCAGAACUUAACAAUUUCGAAAUUCAAAACUCGAGCGUUGGUAAUAAGUAGCUAAUUGGUUAAAAAGUGCGACUGUGUUCUGUUGUCGUCGCAAAAACGUUGCACCUAGCGACUGUUUUGUGACAUUUUUGAAACAUUUUACAAAUAAAAAUGCUCGUUAGUCCCUAUUCGGUCGCACAAUAUUUACUCGAGAAACACUUAAUAAAUUUAAUAAAAUUUUAAAACGUUGCACAAUCGUCGCAAUUUAGUCACAAGACAGUUACACAAACGUUGCAACGUGCGACGGUGUUCUGCUGUCGUCGCAAAAAAGUUGCACAAAGCGACUGUUUUGUGACAUUUUCGAAUAGGUCACAAGACAAACUUUUGAAAUCCACAUAGUUUGAUCCAUUCUAUAGAUAAACAUUACUGAAAAACAACCAUUUUAGUACAUAAAGAACUUUAGGUAUACAAAUGAUUGGUUUCAAACUUAUUUGAGAACUUGUUUGAAAAGAUCAAUCAUGAAAAUGAAUUCACAUGAACCUUAUCAUGUAGAUUAGGUUUUUUUGAAUGUUUGGUUUGUAAUAUUCAGAUUUGAAGUGUUUGGUUAUGUUUUUAUAUAUAAUAUCGACCAAAUUAAAGUGUCCACGUAUAAGAAAACAUAUAAACGUAUCAGAACUUAAAAAUUUCGAAAUUCAAAACUCGAGCGUUGGUAAUAAGUAGCUAAUUGGUUGCAAAGUGCGACUGUGUUCUGUUGUCGUCGCAAAAACGUUGCACCUAGCGACUGUUUUGUGACAUUUUUGAAACAUUUUACAAAUAAAAAUGCUCGUUAGUCCCUAUUCGGUCACACAAUAUUUACUCGAGAAACACUUAAUAAAUUUAACAAAAUUUUAAAACGUUGCACAAUCGUCGCAAUUUAGUCACAAAACAGUUACAAAAAUGUUACAACGUGCGACUGUGUUCUGCUGUCGUCGCAAAAAAAUUGCACAAAGCGACUGUUUUGUGACAUUUUGGAAUAGGUCACAAGACAAACUUUUGAAAUCCACAUAGUUUGAUCCAUUCUAUAGAUAAACAUUACUGAAAAACAACCAUUUUAGUACAUAAAGAACUUUAGGUAUACAAAUGAUUGGUUUCAAACUUAUUUGAGAACUUGUUUGAAAAGAUCAAUCAUGAAAAUGGAUUCACAUGAACCUUAUCAUGUAGAUUAGGUUUCUUUGAAUGUUUGGUUUGUAAUAUUCAGAUUUGAAGUGUUUGGUUAUGUUUUUAUAUAUAAUAUCGACCAAAUUAAAGUGUCAACGUAUAAGAAAACAUAUAAACAUACCAGAACUUAACAAUUUCGAAAUUCAAAACUCGAGCGUUGGUAAUAAGUAGCUAAUUGGUUAAAAAGUGCGAUUGUGUUCUGUUGUCGUCGCAAAAACGUUGCACCUAGCGACUGUUUUGUGACAUUUAUGAAACAUUUUACAAAUAAAAAUGCUAGUUAGUCCCUAUUCGGUCGCACAAUAUUUACUCGAGAAACACUUAAUAAAUUUAACAAAAUUUUAAAACGUUGCACAAUCGUCGCAAUUUAGUCACAAAACAGUUACACAAACGUUGCAACGUGCGACUGUGUUCUGCUGUCGUCGCAAAAAAGUUGCACAAAGCGACUGUUUUAUGACAUUUUGGAAUAGGUCACAAGACAAACUUUUGAAAUCCACAUAGUUCGAUCCAUUCUAUAGAUAAACAUUACUGAAAAACAACCAUUUUAGUACAUCAAGAACUUUAGGUACACAAAUAAUUGGUUUCAAACUUAUUUGAGAACUUGUUUGAAAAGAUCAAUCAUGAAAAUGAAUUCACAUGAACCUUAUCAUGUAGAUUAGGUUUUUUUAAAUGUUUGGUUUGUAAUAUUCAGAUUUGAAGUGUUUGGUUAUGUUUUUAUAUAUAAUAUCGACCAAAUUAAAGUGUCCACGUAUAAGAAAACAUAUAAACGUACCAGAACUUAAAAAUUUCGAAAUUCAAAACUCGAGCGUUGGUAAUAAGUAACUAAUUGGUUGCAAAGUGCGACUGUGUUCUGUUGUCGUCGCAAAAAUGUUGCACCUAGCGACUGUUUUGUGACAUUUUUGAAACAUUUUACAAAUAAAAAUGCUAGUUAGUCCCUAUUCGGUCGCACAAUAUUUACUCGAGAAACACUUAAUAAAUUUAACAAAAUUUUAAAACGUUGCACAAUCGUCGCAAUUUAGUCACAAAACAGUUACACAAACGUUGCAACGUGCGACUGUGUUCUGCUGUCGUCGCAAAAAAAUUGCACAAAGCGACUGUUUUGUGACAUUUUGGAAUAGGUCACAAGACAAACUUUUAAAAUCCACAUAGUUUGAUCCAUUCUAUAGAUAAACAUUAAUGAAAAACAACCAUUUUAGUACAUAAAGAACUUUAGGUAUACAAAUGAUUGGUUUCAAACUUAUUUGAGAACUUGUUUGAAAAGAUCAAUCAUGAAAAUGAAUUCACAUGAACCUUAUCAUGUAGAUUAAGUUUUUUGGAAUGUUUGGUUUGUAAUAUUCAGAUUUGAAGUGUUUGGUUAUGUUUUUAUAUAUAAUAUCGACCAAAUUAAAGUGUCAACGUAUAAGAACACAUAUAAACGUACCAGAACUUAAAAAUUUCGAAAUUCAAAACUCGAGCGUUGGUAAAAAGUAGCUAAUUGGUUGCAAAGUGCGACUGUGUUCUGUUGUCGUCGCAAAAACGUUGCACCUAGCGACUGUUUUGUGACAUUUUUGAAACAUUUUAUAAAUAAAAAUGCUCGUUAGUCCCUAUUCGAUCGCACAAUAUUUACUCGAGAAACACUUAAUAAAUUUAACAAAAUUUUAAAACGUUGCACGAUCGUCGCAAUUUAGUCACAAAACAGUUACACAAACGUUGCAACGUGCGACUGUGUUCUGCUGUCGUCGCAAAAAAGUUGCACAAAGCGAAUGUUUUGUGACAUUUUGGAAUAGGUCACAAGACAAACUUUUGAAAUCCACAUAGUUUGAUCCAUUCUAUAGAUAAACAUUACUGAAAAACAACCAUUUUAGUACAUAAAGAACUUUAGGUAUACAAAUGAUUGGUUUCAAACUUAUUUGAGAACUUGUUUGAAAAGAUCAAUCAUGAAAAUGAAUUCACAUGAACCUUAUCAUGUAGAUUAGGUUUUUUUGAAUGUUUGGUUUGUAAUAUUCAGAUUUGCUGUGUUUGGUUAUGUUUUUAUAUAUAAUAUCGACCAAAUUAAAGUGUCAACGUAUAAGAAAACAUAUAAACAUACCAGAACUUAACAAUUUCGAAAUUCAAAACUCGAGCGUUGGUAAUAAGUAGCUAAUUGGUUGAAAAGUGCGACUGGGUUCUGUUGUCGUCGCAAAAACGUUGCACCUAGCGACUGUUUUGUGACAUUUUUGAAACAUUUUACAAAUAAAAAUGCUCGUUAGUCCCUAUUCGGUCGCAUAAUAUUUACUCGAGAAACACUUAAUAAAUUUAUCAACAUUUUAAAACAUUGCACAAUCGUCGCAAUUUAGUCACAAAACAGUUACACAAACGUUGCAACGUGCGACUGUGUUCUGCUGUUGUCGCAAAAAAGUUACACAAAGCGACUGUUUUGUGACAUUUUGGAAUAGGUCACAAGACAAACUUUUGAAAUCCACAUAGUUUGAUCCAUUCUAUAGAUAAACAUUACUGAAAAACAACCAUUUUAUUACAUAAAGAACUGUAGGUAUACAAAUGAUUGGUUUCAAACUUAUUUGAGAACUUGUUUGAAAAGAUCAAUCAUGAAAAUGAAUUCACAUGAACCUUAUCAUGUAGAUUAGGUUUUUUUGAAUGUUUGGUUUGUAAUAUUCAGAUUUGAAGUGUUUGGUUAUGUUUUUAUAUAUAAUAUCGACCAAAUUAAAGUGUCAACGUAUAAGAAAACAUAUAAACGUACCAGAACUUAAAAAUUUCGAAAUUCAAAACUCGAGCGUUGGUAAUAAGUAGCUAAUUGGUUGCAAAGUGCGACUUUGUUUUGUUGUCGUCGCAAAAACGUUGCACCUAGCGACUGUUUUGUGACAUUUUUGAAACAUUUUACAAAUAAAAAUGCUCGUUAGUCCCUAUUCGGUCGCACAAUAUUUACUCGAGAAACACUUAAUAAAUUUAACAAAAUUUUAAAACGUUGCACAAUCGUCGCAAUUUAGUCACAAAACAGUUACACAAACGUUGCAACGUGCGACGGUGUUCUGCUGUCGUCGCAAAAAAGUUGCACAAAGCGACUGCUUUGUGACAUUUUCGAAUAGGUCACAAGACAAACUUUUGAAAUCCACAUAGUUUGAUCCAUUCUAUAGAUAAACAUUACUGAAAAACAAACAUUUUAGUACAUAAAGAACUUUAGGUAUACAAAUGAUUGGUUUCAAACUUAUUUGAGAACUUGUUUGAAAAGAUCAAUCAUGAAAAUGAAUUCACAUGAACCUUAUCAUGUAGAUUAGGUUUUUUUGAAUGUUUGGUUUGUAAUAUUCAGAUUUGAAGUGUUUGGUUAUGUUUUUAUAUAUAAUAUCGACCAAAUUAAAGUGUCAACGUAUAAGAAAACAUAUAAACGUACCAGAACUUAAAAAUUUCGAAAUUCAAAACUCGAGCGUUGGUAAUAAGUAGCUAAUUGGUUGCAAAGUGCGACUGUGUUCUGUUGUCGUCGCAAAAACGUUGCACCUAGCGACUGUUUUGUGACAUUUUUGAAACAUUUUACAAAUAAAAAUGCUCGUUAGUCCCUAUUCGGUCGCACAAUAUUUACUCGAGAAACACUUAAUAAAUUUAACAAAAUUUUAAAACGUUGCACAAUCGUCGCAAUUUAGUCACAAAACAGUUACAAAAACGUUGCAACGUGCGACUGUGUUCUGCUGUCGUCGCAAAAAAAUUGCACAAAGCGACUGUUUUGUGACAUUUUGGAAUAGGUCACAAGACAAACUUUUGAAAUCCACAUAGUUUGAUCCAUUCUAUAGAUAAACAUUACUGAAAAACAACCAUUUUAGUACAUAAAAAACUUUAGGUAUACAAAUGAUUGGUUUCAAACUUAUUUGAGAACUUGUUUGAAAAGAUCAAUCAUGAAAAUGGAUUCACAUGAACCUUAUCAUGUAGAUUAGGUUUCUUUGAAUGUUUGGUUUGUAAUAUUCAGAUUUGAAGUGUUUGGUUAUGUUUUUAUAUAUAAUAUCGACCAAAUUAAAGUGUCAACGUAUAAGAAAACAUAUAAACAUACCAGAACUUAACAAUUUCGAAAUUCAAAACUCGAGCGUUGGUAAUAAGUAGCUAAUUGGUUAAAAAGUGCGAUUGUGUUCUGUUGUCGUCGCAAAAACGUUGCACCUAGCGACUGUUUUGUGACAUUUAUGAAACAUUUUACAAAUAAAAAUGCUAGUUAGUCCCUAUUCGGUCGCACAAUAUUUACUCGAGAAACACUUAAUAAAUUUAACAAAAUUUUAAAACGUUGCACAAUCGUCGCAAUUUAGUCACAAAACAGUUACACAAACGUUGCAACGUGCGACUGUGUUCUGCUGUCGUCGCAAAAAAGUUGCACAAAGCGACUGUUUUAUGACAUUUUGGAAUAGGUCACAAGACAAACUUUUGAAAUCCACAUAGUUCAAUCCAUUCUAUAGAUAAACAUUACUGAAAAACAACCAUUUUAGUACAUCAAGAACUUUAGGUACACAAAUAAUUGGUUUCAAACUUAAUUGAGAACUUGUUUGAAAAGAUCAAUCAUGAAAAUGAAUUCACAUGAACCUUAUCAUGUAGAUUAGGUUUUUUUGAAUGUUUGGUUUGUAAUAUUCAGAUUUGAAGUGUUUGGUUAUGUUUUUAUAUAUAAUAUCGACCAAAUUAAAGUGUCCACGUAUAAGAAAACAUAUAAACGUACCAGAACUUAAAAAUUUCGAAAUUCAAAACUCGAGCGUUGGUAAUAAGUAGCUAAUUGGUUAAAAAGUGCGAUUGUGUUCUGUUGUCGUCGCAAAAAUGUUGCACCUAGCGACUGUUUUGUGACAUUUAUGAAACAUUUUACAAAUAAAAAUGCUAGUUAGUCCCUAUUCGGUCGCACAAUAUUUACUCGAGAAACACUUAAUAAAUUUAACAAAAUUUUAAAACGUUGCACAAUCGUCGCAAUUUAGUCACAAAACAGUUACACAAACGUUGCAACGUGCGACUGUGUUCUGCUGUCGUCGCAAAAAAGUUGCACAAAGCGACUGUUUUAUGACAUUUUGGAAUAGGUCACAAGACAAACUUUUGAAAUCCACAUAGUUCGAUCCAUUCUAUAGAUAAACAUUACUGAAAAACAACCAUUUUAGUACAUCAAGAACUUUAGGUACACAAAUGAUUGGUUUCAAACUUAUUUGAGAACUUGUUUGAAAAGAUCAAUCAUGAAAAGGAAUUCACAUGAACCUUAUCAUGUAGAUUAAGUUUUUUGGAAUGUUUGGUUUGUAAUAUUCAGAUUUGAAGUGUUUGGUUAUGUUUUUAUAUAUAAUAUCGACCAAAUUAAAGUGUCCACGUAUAAGAAAACAUAUAAACGUACCAGAACUUAAAAAUUUCGAAAUUCAAAACUCGAGCGUUGGUAAUAAGUAGCUAAUUGGUUGCAAAGUGCGACUGUGUUCUGUUGUCGUCGCAAAAACGUUGCACCUAGCGACUGUUUUGUGACAUUUUUGAAACAUUUUACAAAUAAAAAUGCUCGUUAGUCUCUAUUCGGUCGCACAAUAUUUACUCGAGAAACACUUAAUAAAUUUAACAAAAUUUUAAAACGUUGCACAAUCGACGCAAUUUAGUCACAAAAGAGUUACACAAACGUUGCAACGUGCGACUAUGUUCUUCUGUCGUCGCAAAAAAGUUGCAUAAAGAGACUGUUUUGUGACAUUUUGGAAUAGGUCACUAGACAAACUUUUGAAAUCCACAUAGUUUGAUCCAUUCUAUAGAUAAACAUUACUGAAAAACAACCAUUUUAGUACAUAAAGAACUUUAGGUAUACAAAUGAUUGGUUUCAAACUUAUUUGAGAACUUGUUUGAAAAGAUCAAUCAUGAAAAUGAAUUCACAUGAACCUUAUCAUGUAGAUUAGGUUUUUUUGAAUGUUUGGUUUGUAAUAUUCAGAUUUGCUGUGUUUGGUUAUGUUUUUAUAUAUAAUAUCGACCAAAUUAAAGUGUCAACGUAUAAGAAAACAUAUAAACAUACCAGAACUUAACAAUUUCGAAAUUCAAAACUCGAGCGUUGGUAAUAAGUAGCUAAUUGGUUGAAAAGUGCGACUGGGUUCUGUUGUCGUCGCAAAAACGUUGCACCUAGCGACUGUUUUGUGACAUUUUUGAAACAUUUUACAAAUAAAAAUGCUCGUUAGUCCCUAUUCGGUCGCAUAAUAUUUACUCGAGAAACACUUAAUAAAUUUAUCAACAUUUUAAAACAUUGCACAAUCGUCGCAAUUUAGUCACAAAACAGUUACACAAACGUUGCAACGUGCGACUGUGUUCUGCUGUUGUCGCAAAAAAGUUGCACAAAGCGACUGUUUUGUGACAUUUUGGAAUAGGUCACAAGACAAACUUUUGAAAUCCACAUAGUUUGAUCCAUUCUAUAGAUAAACAUUACUGAAAAACAACCAUUUUAUUACAUAAAGAACUGUAGGUAUACAAAUGAUUGGUUUCAAACUUAUUUGAGAACUUGUUUGAAAAGAUCAAUCAUGAAAAUGAAUUCACAUGAACCUUAUCAUGUAGAUUAGGUUUUUUUGAAUGUUUGGUUUGUAAUAUUCAGAUUUGAAGUGUUUGGUUAUGUUUUUAUAUAUAAUAUCGACCAAAUUAAAGUGUCAACGUAUAAGAAAACAUAUAAACGUACCAGAACUUAAAAAUUUCGAAAUUCAAAACUCGAGCGUUGGUAAUAAGUAGCUAAUUGGUUGCAAAGUGCGACUUUGUUUUGUUGUCGUCGCAAAAACGUUGCACCUAGCGACUGUUUUGUGACAUUUUUGAAACAUUUUACAAAUAAAAAUGCUCGUUAGUCCCUAUUCGGUCGCACAAUAUUUACUCGAGAAACACUUAAUAAAUUUAACAAAAUUUUAAAACGUUGCACAAUCGUCGCAAUUUAGUCACAAAACAGUUACACAAACGUUGCAACGUGCGACGGUGUUCUGCUGUCGUCGCAAAAAAGUUGCACAAAGCGACUGCUUUGUGACAUUUUCGAAUAGGUCACAAGACAAACUUUUGAAAUCCACAUAGUUUGAUCCAUUCUAUAGAUAAACAUUACUGAAAAACAAACAUUUUAGUACAUAAAGAACUUUAGGUAUACAAAUGAUUGGUUUCAAACUUAUUUGAGAACUUGUUUGAAAAGAUCAAUCAUGAAAAUGAAUUCACAUGAACCUUAUCAUGUAGAUUAGGUUUUUUUGAAUGUUUGGUUUGUAAUAUUCAGAUUUGAAGUGUUUGGUUAUGUUUUUAUAUAUAAUAUCGACCAAAUUAAAGUGUCAACGUAUAAGAAAACAUAUAAACGUACCAGAACUUAAAAAUUUCGAAAUUCAAAACUCGAGCGUUGGUAAUAAGUAGCUAAUUGGUUGCAAAGUGCGACUGUGUUCUGUUGUCGUCGCAAAAACGUUGCACCUAGCGACUGUUUUGUGACAUUUUUGAAACAUUUUACAAAUAAAAAUGCUCGUUAGUCCCUAUUCGGUCGCACAAUAUUUACUCGAGAAACACUUAAUAAAUUUAACAAAAUUUUAAAACGUUGCACAAUCGUCGCAAUUUAGUCACAAAACAGUUACAAAAACGUUGCAACGUGCGACUGUGUUCUGCUGUCGUCGCAAAAAAAUUGCACAAAGCGACUGUUUUGUGACAUUUUGGAAUAGGUCACAAGACAAACUUUUGAAAUCCACAUAGUUUGAUCCAUUCUAUAGAUAAACAUUACUGAAAAACAACCAUUUUAGUACAUAAAAAACUUUAGGUAUACAAAUGAUUGGUUUCAAACUUAUUUGAGAACUUGUUUGAAAAGAUCAAUCAUGAAAAUGGAUUCACAUGAACCUUAUCAUGUAGAUUAGGUUUCUUUGAAUGUUUGGUUUGUAAUAUUCAGAUUUGAAGUGUUUGGUUAUGUUUUUAUAUAUAAUAUCGACCAAAUUAAAGUGUCAACGUAUAAGAAAACAUAUAAACAUACCAGAACUUAACAAUUUCGAAAUUCAAAACUCGAGCGUUGGUAAUAAGUAGCUAAUUGGUUAAAAAGUGCGAUUGUGUUCUGUUGUCGUCGCAAAAACGUUGCACCUAGCGACUGUUUUGUGACAUUUAUGAAACAUUUUACAAAUAAAAAUGCUAGUUAGUCCCUAUUCGGUCGCACAAUAUUUACUCGAGAAACACUUAAUAAAUUUAACAAAAUUUUAAAACGUUGCACAAUCGUCGCAAUUUAGUCACAAAACAGUUACACAAACGUUGCAACGUGCGACUGUGUUCUGCUGUCGUCGCAAAAAAGUUGCACAAAGCGACUGUUUUAUGACAUUUUGGAAUAGGUCACAAGACAAACUUUUGAAAUCCACAUAGUUCAAUCCAUUCUAUAGAUAAACAUUACUGAAAAACAACCAUUUUAGUACAUCAAGAACUUUAGGUACACAAAUAAUUGGUUUCAAACUUAUUUGAGAACUUGUUUGAAAAGAUCAAUCAUGAAAAUGAAUUCACAUGAACCUUAUCAUGUAGAUUAGGUUUUUUUGAAUGUUUGGUUUGUAAUAUUCAGAUUUGAAGUGUUUGGUUAUGUUUUUAUAUAUAAUAUCGACCAAAUUAAAGUGUCCACGUAUAAGAAAACAUAUAAACGUACCAGAACUUAAAAAUUUCGAAAUUCAAAACUCGAGCGUUGGUAAUAAGUAGCUAAUUGGUUAAAAAGUGCGAUUGUGUUCUGUUGUCGUCGCAAAAAUGUUGCACCUAGCGACUGUUUUGUGACAUUUAUGAAACAUUUUACAAAUAAAAAUGCUAGUUAGUCCCUAUUCGGUCGCACAAUAUUUACUCGAGAAACACUUAAUAAAUUUAACAAAAUUUUAAAACGUUGCACAAUCGUCGCAAUUUAGUCACAAAACAGUUACACAAACGUUGCAACGUGCGACUGUGUUCUGCUGUCGUCGCAAAAAAGUUGCACAAAGCGACUGUUUUAUGACAUUUUGGAAUAGGUCACAAGACAAACUUUUGAAAUCCACAUAGUUCGAUCCAUUCUAUAGAUAAACAUUACUGAAAAACAACCAUUUUAGUACAUCAAGAACUUUAGGUACACAAAUGAUUGGUUUCAAACUUAUUUGAGAACUUGUUUGAAAAGAUCAAUCAUGAAAAGGAAUUCACAUGAACCUUAUCAUGUAGAUUAAGUUUUUUGGAAUGUUUGGUUUGUAAUAUUCAGAUUUGAAGUGUUUGGUUAUGUUUUUAUAUAUAAUAUCGACCAAAUUAAAGUGUCCACGUAUAAGAAAACAUAUAAACGUACCAGAACUUAAAAAUUUCGAAAUUCAAAACUCGAGCGUUGGUAAUAAGUAGCUAAUUGGUUGCAAAGUGCGACUGUGUUCUGUUGUCGUCGCAAAAACGUUGCACCUAGCGACUGUUUUGUGACAUUUUUGAAACAUUUUACAAAUAAAAAUGCUCGUUAGUCUCUAUUCGGUCGCACAAUAUUUACUCGAGAAACACUUAAUAAAUUUAACAAAAUUUUAAAACGUUGCACAAUCGACGCAAUUUAGUCACAAAACAGUUACACAAACGUUGCAACGUGCGACUAUGUUCUUCUGUCGUCGCAAAAAAGUUGCAUAAAGAGACUGUUUUGUGACAUUUUGGAAUAGGUCACUAGACAAACUUUUGAAAUCCACAUAGUUUGAUCCAUUCUAUAGAUAAACAUUACUGAAAAACAACCAUUUUAGUAUAUAAAGAACUUUAGGUAUACAAAUGAUUGGUUUCAAACUUAUUUGAGAACUUGUUUGAAAAGAUCAAUCAUGAAAAUGAAUUCACAUGAACCUUAUCAUGUAGAUUAGUUUUUUUUGAAUGUUUUGUUUGUAAUAUUCAGAUUUGAAGUGUUUGGUUAUGUUUUAAUAUAUAAUAUCGACCAAAUUAAAGUGUCAACGUAUAAGAAUACAUAUAAACGUACCAGAACUUAAAAAUUUCGAAAUUCAAAACUCGAGCGUUGGUAAUAAGUAGCUAAUUGGUUGCAAAGUGCGACUGUGUUCUGUUGUCGUCGCAAAAACGUUGCACCUAGCGACAGUUUUGUGACAUUUUUGAAACAUUUUAUAAAUAAAAAUGCUCGUUAGUCCCUAUUCGGUCGCACAAUAUUUACUCGAGAAACACUUAAUAAAUUUAACAAAAUUUUAAAACGUUGCACAAUCGUCGCAAUUUAGUCACAAAACAGUUACAAAAACGUUGCAACGUGCGACUGUAAUCUGCUGUCGUCGCAAAAAAAUUGCACAAAGCGACUGUUUUGUGACAUUUUGGAAUAGGUCACAAAACAAACUUUUGAAAUCCACAUAGUUUGAUCCAUUCUAUAGAUAAACAUUACUGAAAAACAACCAUUUUAGUACAUAAAGAACUUUAGGUAUACAAAUGAUUGGUUUCAAACUUAUUUGAGAACUUGUUUGAAAAGAUCAAUCAUGAAAAUGAAUUCACAUGAACCUUAUCAUGUAGAUUAGGUUUUUUUGAAUGUUUGGUUUGUAAUAUUCAGAUUUGAAGUGUUUGGUUAUGUUUUUAUAUAUAAUAUCGACCAAAUUAAAGUGUCAACGUAUAAGAAAACAUAUAAACGUACCAGAACUUAAAAAUUUCGAAAUUGAAAACUCGAGCGUUGGUAAUAAGUAGCUAAUUGGUUGCAAAGUGCGACUGUGUUUUGUUGUCGUCGCAAAAACGUUGCACCUAGCGACUGUUUUGUGACAUUUUUGAAACAUUUUACAAAUAAAAAUGCUCGUUAGUCCCUAUUCGGUCGCACAAUAUUUACUCGAGAAACACUUAAUAAAUUUAACAAAAUUUUAAAACGUUGCACAAUCGACGCAAUUUAGUCACAAAACAGUUACACAAACGUUGCAACGUGCGACUAUGUUCUUCUGUCGUCGCAAAAAAGUUGCAUAAAGAGACUGUUUUGUGACAUUUUGGAAUAGGUCACAAGACAAACUUUUGAAAUCCACAUAGUUUGAUCCAUUCUAUAGAUAAACAUUACUGAAAAACAACCAUUUUAGUAUAUAAAGAACUUUAGGUAUACAAAUGAUUGGUUUCAAACUUAUUUGAGAACUUGUUUGAAAAGAUCAAUCAUGAAAAUGAAUUCACAUGAACCUUAUCAUGUAGAUUAGUUUUUUUUGAAUGUUUUGUUUGUAAUAUUCAGAUUUGAAGUGUUUGGUUAUGUUUUUAUAUAUAAUAUCGACCAAAUUAAAGUGUCAACGUAUAAGAAUACAUAUAAACGUACCAGAACUUAAAAAUUUCGAAAUUCAAAACUCGAGCGUUGGUAAUAAGUAGCUAAUUGGUUGCAAAGUGCGACUGUGUUCUGUUGUCGUCGCAAAAACGUUGCACCUAGCGACAGUUUUGUGACAUUUUUGAAACAUUUUAUAAAUAAAAAUGCUCGUUAGUCCCUAUUCGGUCGCACAAUAUUUACUCGAGAAACACUUAUUAAAUUUAACAAAAUUUUACAACGUUUCUCAAUCGUCGCAAUUUAGUCACAAAACAGUUACACAAACGUUGCAACGUGCGACUAUGUUCUGCUGUCGUCGCAAAAAAGUUGCACAAAGAGACUGUUUUGUGACAUUUUGGAAUAGGUCACAAGACAAACUUUUGAAAUCCACAUAGUUUGAUCCAUUCUAUAGAUAAACAUUACUGAAAAACAACUAUUUUAGUACAUAAAGAACUGUAGGUAUACAAAUGAUUGGUUUCAAACUUAUUUGAGAACUUGUUUGAAAAGAUCAAUCAUGAAAAUGAAUUCACAUGAACCUUAUCAUGUAGAUUAGUUUUUCUUGAAUGUUUGGUUUGUAAUAUUCAGAUUUGAAGUGUUUGGUUAUGUUUUUAUAUAUAAUAUCGACCAAAUUAAAGUGUCAACGUAUAAGAAUACAUAUAAACGUACCAGAACUUAAAAAUUUUGAAAUUCAAAACUCGAGCGUUGGUAAUAAGUAGCUAAUUGGUUGCAAAUUGCGACUGUGUUCUGUUGUCGUCGCAAAAACGUUGCACCUAGAGACUGUUUUGUGACAUUUUUGAAACAUUUUACAAAUAAAAAUGCUCGUUAAUCCCUAUUCGGUCGCACAAUAUUUACCCGAGAAACACUUAAUAAAUUUAACAAAAUUUUAAAACGUUGCACAAUCGUCGCAAUUUAGUCACAAAACAGUUACAAAAACGUUGCAACGUGCGACUGUGUUCUGCUGUCAUCGCAAAAAAGUUGCACAAAGCGACUGUUUCGUGACAUUUUGGAAUAGGUCACAAGACAAACUUUUGAAAUCCACAUAGUUUGAUCCAUUCUAUAGAUAAACAUUACUAAAAAACAACCAUUUUAGUACAUAAAAAACUGUAGAUAUACAAAUGAUUGGUUUCAAACUUAUUUGAGAACUUGUUUGAAAAGAUCAAUCAUGAAAAUGAAUUCACAUGAACCUUAUCAUGUAGAUUAGGUUUUUUUGAAUGUUUGGUUUGUAAUAUUCAGAUUUGAAGUGUUUGGUUAUGUUUUUAUAUAUAAUAUCGACCAAAUUAAAGUGUCAACGUAUAAGAACACAUAUAAACAUACCAGAACUUAAAAAUUUCGAAAUUCAAAACUCGAGUGUUGGUAAUAAGUAGCUAAUUGGUUGCAAAGUGCUACUGUGUUCUGUUCUCGUCCCAAAAACGUUGCACCUACCGAAUGUUUUGUGACAUUUUUGAAAUAUUUUACAAAUAAUAAUGCUCGUUAAUCCCUAUUCGGUCGCACAAUAUUUACUCGAGAAACACUUAAUAAAUUUAACAAAAUUUUAAAACGUUGCACAAUCGUCGCAAUUUAGUCACAAAACAGUUACACAAAUGUUGCAACGUGCGACUGUGUUAUGCUGUCGUCGCAAAAAAGUUGCACAAAGCGACUGUUUUGUGACAUUUUAGAAUAGGUCACAAGACAAACUUUCGAAAUCCACAUAGUUUGAUUCAUUCUAUAGAUAAACAUUACUGAAAAACAACCAUUUUAGUACAUAAAGAACUUUAGGUAAACAAAUGAUUGGUUUCAAACUUAUUUGAGAACUUGUUUGAAAAGAUCAAUCAUGAAAAUGAAUUCACAUGAACCUUAUUAUGUAGAUUAGGUUUUUUUGAAUGUUUGGUUUGUAAUAUUCAGAUUUGAAGUCUUUGGUUAUGUUUUUAUAUAUAAUAUCGACCAAAUUAAAGUGUCAACGUAUAAGAAAACAUAUAAACAUACCAGAACUUAAAAAUUUCGAAAUUCAAAACUCGAGCGUUGGUAAUAAGUAGCUAAUUGGUUGCAAAGUGCGACUGUGUUUUGUUGUUGUCGCAAAAAUGUUGCACCUAGCGACUGUUUUGUGACAUUUUUGAAACAUUUUACAAAUGAAAAUGCUCGUUAGUCCCUAUUCGGUCGCACAAUAUUUACUCGAGAAACACUUAAUAAAUUUAACAAAAUUUUAAACGUUGCACAAUCGUCGCAAUUUAGUCACAAAACAGUUACACAAACGUUGCAACGGUGCGUCUGUGCUCUGUUGUCGUCGCAAAAACAUUUUGGAAACAUUUUACAAACAUUUUACCGAGUUGGUACAAAUUUGGUUAGUAAUUGCGAAGAAAGGUAUUUUAAAAGACAUUGAAAAUAACAUUCAAACAAAAGUUUUAUUUAUAUAUGUUACAAAUACACAUAAAAAUUAUAUCUACUAUAAUUAUUCAGAUUUUUCAUCAUCUUCCUCUUCUUCAUCUGCAUCCUCAGAUGUGGAUUCAUUACAGUGAAAUUCAUCUCCUUCUUCAGCAUCUUCAAUAUCAAAAUCAAUAGGUUCAUCAUGACGGUUUGUGUCAACUAAGCUCUCAAUGAUAACUUCUUCAAUCAUGCUCGGGUUUCUUUCAUCCAAAGAUUGUUGCAAUACAGCUACAUCAUUUAAGGUAAACUUCCCUUGGACAACAUUCCUUGGAUUGACUUUGCAAACUAAAAGCCACGAUUUUCGAGGUCGUGUGAUGUUCGAGUAAGAAAGAUAACAAACCUGAUCAGCUUGACACCCUGUAAAAUGCCAAAAUUUUAAAUGAAAUAUGAAUUCUCUUACAAAU
rnacentral:sRNA from 1 species